GCCGAGGUAGCCAAGCUGGCCAACGGCGAUGGACUCAAGUUCCACACUCCGUGGAGUUGGAACAAAUCCCAUCCUCGGCACCA
rnacentral:tRNA from 1 species